AUUGAAUGCUGGCGGCAUGCUUUACACAUGCAAGUCGAACGAGUGGCGAACGGGUGAGUAAUAUAUCGGAACGUACCGAGUAAUGGGGGAUACCCAAUCGAACGAUUGGCUAAUACCGCAUAUUAUUCGAGCGGCCGAUAACUGAUUAGCUAGUUGGUGGGGUAAAGGCCUACCAAGGCGACGAUCAGUAGCGGGUCUGAGAGGACGAUAGGGCGCACGGGGACUGAGACACGGCCAAGAGUCCUACGGGAGGCAGCAGGGGGGAAUUUUGGACAAUGGGAGCAACCAUGAUCCAGCCAUGCCGCGUGUAUGAAGAAGGCCUUCGGGUUGUAAAGUACUUUUGUUAGGGAAGCGGUAGCUAAAGAAGAAGCACCGGCUAACUACGUGCCAGCAGCCGCGGUAAUAC
rnacentral:rRNA from 1 species